AGCCCUUGCUGCCGGGAGCUGUAGUUUACUUUCAGUUUCAUCUUGCAGUGAUCAGCUGAACAGGAUUGAGGGGGCAGAGGUAGGGGGACAAGUUAUCCCAGCCUUUCCCCACCCCCCUCUUCCCCCCAAUGCCAUUAAUCAUGGCAGUGCACUUUAAACUAAGAAGUUACUUGAGGUCCGAAAAGGGGGCGGGGCUAGACGGCACUGUACUACACAGUGCCUUGCUAGUUGCCAGCAGCACGGGAGAAUGGAGGGAAUGUGAGCAGCAGCAUGGCCAAAACAGAUUAAGGACCAGCAAGUCCGAAACGCGUUGGUGAACAAUUAGCAAGUGAAGCACUGACGUCACUCAGCCUGCGCCAGACGGGUGAGGGGACGAAAGAACAAACAAGUAUCGGGAACCAGCCGAAGGGUCGUGAUCCACACGGGAGAGCCGAAGUUUGAGCGUGACUCAAGACUAGGAAAUUGCUCUUACCUGUAUGACAGACUGCAGCAUCAGUCUCUUUCGUCCUUCAUCCUCAGGAUGUCGAAGCAAAUCACAAUUUCUCUGUCAUAAAAAAGCAUCUUAGAGCCAAUGUCAUACUGUAUGACUCAAGUGGACAUACAUAUCUUUACUGGAUGUGGACAAGGCCAUUUAGUUUGGAUUCCAUUUCAGCUUUUACUU